GUUACUGCCUGGGCCUUUGCGUUCCAUUCUCGCAGCCGCGGCUAAGCUCGCGUUGUGCGGAUCCCUCACUUCUUCCCAUAGGUUUGUGGCUCCCCAAGAAGCCUUGCAGCUGAGUGGGUGAUGGUGGUAGGCACAGGCAAGCUUCGACAGGGAACUUUGCAAGCGGAACAGGCUCGAUGGAAAAAUAUGAGAUCCUUGGACUUGUUGGAGAAGGAAGUUAUGGAAUGGUGAUGAAGUGCAGAAACAAGGAGAAUGGCAGAGUUGUUGCCAUCAAAAAAUUUUUGGAAAGUGAAGAUGAUAAAAUGGUUAAAAAAAUUGCCCUGAGAGAAAUAAAAUUUCUCAAGCAAUUAAGACAUGAGAACUUGGUGAACUUGCUGGAAGUCUGUAAGAAGAAAAAACGAUGGUAUCUGGUGUUUGAAUUUGUAGAUCACACAAUCCUUGAUGAUCUUGAGAUGCUUCCCAAUGGCUUGGAUUAUAACAGAGUUCGAAAAUACUUAUUUCAAAUUAUAAAAGGGGUAGGAUUUUGUCAUAGUCAUAAUAUCAUACACAGGGAUAUUAAACCUGAAAACAUAUUGGUCUCCUGUUCGGGAAUUAUCAAACUCUGUGAUUUUGGAUUUGCUCGAACGCUUGCAGCUCCUGGUGAAGUUUACACAGAUUAUGUGGCAACACGGUGGUAUCGAGCUCCUGAGCUGUUGGUUGGUGAUAUCAAAUAUGGCAAGGCUGUUGAUGUGUGGGCCAUUGGCUGCCUGGUAACUGAAAUGCUUACAGGAGAGCCCCUUUUCCCUGGAGACUCUGAUAUUGACCAAUUAUUCCAUAUUAUGAAAAGUCUAGGUAACUUAAUUCCAAAGCACCAGGAGUUAUUCUACAAAAAUCCUCUCUUUGCUGGAGUGAGAUUGCCUGAAAUCAAAGAUUUAGAACCUCUUGAAAAACGAUACUCAAAGCUCUCCAUUGCAGUCAUAGAAUUUGCAAAGCAAUGCCUGCAAACUAAUCCAGAAAAGAGGCCAUCUUGUAAUGAACUGCUGCAAUGCAACCUCUUCAGCAAAGAUGGGUUUGCUGAAAGAUUUAUUCAAGAACUUAAAAUCAAGAUUCAAAAAGAAAAAGAACAUUCUGUACCCAAGAAACCAAAAAUAAAUAAGGACAAAGAUGAUAUAGGCGAUGAAAGAAAAAUGCUUUUAACCCAGGAUUUAGGUGUGAAUUCAAAGCUCAAAGACUCCAAGCUGUUCAGAAUGAAAGUAUCUAAGGCUGACAUCCUGAAAUCGGAAAGAUCAUCAUGUAUGAGUUUCCUGUAUGAUAACAGUGUUGGACAAUUUAAUACAAUUCCAAUAUAUCUAAAGGAUUCAAACAGUAGCCUAGAAUAUGUGAAGAAUCCAAGCAUGGUAAUUCCUCCCAUUGCACAGAAUUAUUCCACCACACAAUCCAGCAUCGAUGGGACCCCCACAAUGGGGACAACAUUGGCAAGCCAUAAUUACAGAACUGAUGAGAAAACCAAAACAUAUUUUAAUCCUUGUAUCAAGCAAGGGAAAAAGUCACCAGCAGGUCACUAUAAUGUGAACUUAACAGCAUCGAUGCCAAAAGAGAACAAUGUUCUUCAGUCCCUCAAAAAAAAGUGGGAGUUUUCUAAAGCAGAUGUCCAUUUGCCAGAGCUUAAUUACAGCCAUCUCCCUGAACUCAAAGGCGUGGAUGUUUGGAAUUCCAGAUUUCUAAAGAAAGAAAACAAAAUUGUUCCAGAGUCUCGCAUGCCAUCUCUUGCCACAAUAGAUCUUCAGAAUCCAAAUCUGGCUCUGCAUCAGAUAUCUGGAAGCUCCUUGCAAGAUACCUCAGAAGCCACCUUCCCCAAGGUAGAGCAUUAGUAACAAGCGGAAUUGGCAACUCUUACGUGAUUCCCAUUGAUUACACAUCUGCAUCACUUUUACACUCUUAUGGAGUUACAGCUUACAUUUGCAAAGUCUAUGACAAAUACUUUCCUCCCGUAAUAAAUUAACUUGGAUGAAUUAGAAAAAAACUAAGCAUGAUAUGAUCUGAUUAGUACUUGGAUAAAAGAUCAUCAAGACAUUUCAAGUUUGUAGACUCUGGAAAUUUGGAAAAAAAUAAUCACCAGUCAAGUUCAACGAUGAAGUCACCAGGAGUCAAACUCAACUCAAGGGAUACUUUUCUUUGUAUAAGUUUUCUAUCAAAAUUGAGAGAAUGCUUGCAGUUAUUCAUAGCUCUAUGUCUCUCUAUUCAUUUCCUAGUUUUCACUGAAUUAUCUUCACGUAGUUUCAAGCAUUCAAGGAAAAUCAGCACUCCUAAACAUUAUGUUAUUUGAGUAGUACUUUUUUCUAUCACUGCACCCAAAUAAUGUGAAUUGAUCAUUUCUAAAGCAUUCUUAUAUAAGACAUGUUAUUGAAGAUGCUUAAAAAGUGUGUUGUGAAUAUCAGUGUUUGUAUAUAUUUGCCCUUAUAACUCUUCAAUGCAUUUGGAAAUUCUGGGUAUUGUUACUGUUUUGAGUAAACAGAUAUCUAACAUUUUUAGUUUCCAGAUAAUAAUAAAAUUGUAGUAAUUAUAAUUAUUAGAAUACCAGUGAUAUUUCAUAUCUACAGCAGGAGUGGGCAAUCUAAGCACCAUGUGGAUUGCCUACACACACACACACACCAGUUUCCCAUUGACUGCCUUUUCAGAUCGAACAAAAUUGAACAUUACAGAAUCACCAUUCUUCCAUUUUGGUGAUAUAGGAAAAUUUAAAGACAAAUCCAGUGCUUUGUAGUACCAACUAUAUUGCUUAAAAAUGCCUGUCUCUCUCCUCCCCAUUAUACAUAACUUUUUGUGCGUACAGAAAUGGUCUCCACAAAGCACAUUCUAUGAUAAUGAAGAUGCUGAUUUGGAAGCUAAUGGCAAUGUGAAGUUUCUCUUACUUGCCACUAAAAGCUUUGUAAAGCAUAAUGAAGGAAGAAGGAUUCUGCAACCACUGCAAAGGACUUGAUGUUUGGAUGCUGCUUGCUGGAAGUUUUAUGAGGAAGUAUUAUGUACUUUGGCCUCAGCAUUUUAAUGAAAACAAAUCAAUUCUUUUAAAAAUAUGGAUGGAUAUAAAGGUAAAGGUUUCCUCUGUCCAGUUGUGUCCUACUCUAGGAGACAGUGCUCAUCUCCAUUUCCCAGUGGAGGGAACUAACUUCCGAAGACAUUUCCAUGGUCAUGUAGUCAGCAUGACUAUAUGCCAAGGCACAUGGAACACUCUAAUCUUCCCACGAAAGUGGUACCUAUGUAUCCACUCACAUUUGCAUGCUUUCUAACUGCUAGGAGGUGGGGCAAGGAGUUCACCUUGUCACAUAGCACUCAGGUCUUGAACUCGGGCUGUUGGCUUCCAGCUGACCAGCUCAGAUUUUUUAACCAUUGAGCCAUCAUGCCCCCCCCCCCAUGGAUACAAUUGUUUAUUAAUUAAAAAACUGAAUCAUAGUUUUUUAUAUUCAUAUAAUUGAAUCAUAGCCAGACCAGUGAUAAAAGAGCUCUUUAUAGCAGCUAAAUAUCUUAGUAGAAGACAAUUGUUAGUACAGUAGACUGGGGUUCCAAUCCUGGCUGGUACCUUUUUACCAGUAGGAGUCCUUGGCAAAAAGAAAACCCUAAUGCUUCAUCUGCCUAUCUCAAAAUAUGAGUUACACAAACUAAAAGAGUCAUGCUGUCUUGCAUGUUAUCUAGAUUAACACAGUCCACAUUAGUGAUUGAGGAACAGGACAAUGUGAUAAUAGACGGGCUACUGGAAUUAACCAUUCAUGGACAUAGCAAGAGAACCUGGAAUUGAUGGAAUGCUACCACAACAUAGACCUAAUGAGAGGGAGUAUAUGAAAUGCAUGAGGGAACUGCAACCACACUAACUGAGAAAAGCUAGUUACCCAACACUUUUUUUUUUUUUUAAUUUGAUUUAUAUGCCGCCCUUCUCCGGAGACUCAGGGCGGCUUACAGUGCGUUAAGCAAUAGCCUUCAUACUUUUGUAUAUUUAUACAAAGUCAGCUUAUUGCCCCCACAAACUGGGUCCUCAUUUAACCUACCUUAGAAAGGAUGGAAGGCUGAGUCAACCUUGAGCCUUGGAGAGAUUCGAACCAGCAGUAAAUUGCAGGCAGCUGUGUUAAUAACAGGGUGCUUUAAACCACUGUAGUACCAACACUUCAACAUUGUGAAGCAUGUAGCUGAUCUAUCUCACAAUUUGAGAUAGAUCAGCUACAUAUUACAUCCCAAAUUCAAGAAGACUUGGAAGAAGAACUGGACAUGUAGCCAACACCUGAAAGUGGAAUGUCAAUACCACCUCUCCUUUACAAAGUACAACAGUGGAUAUGAGGCAUAAGAUCACAGAUAAACUUGCUACAAUCACCUGAGAGUGGUUACCAAGGCUCAGUAGAGAAAUACCAUCAGAUAAUAUAUUAGAAGCCCUCACAACAAUCCUUGAUAUCACAAUAACUCAAACUAAUGAAUUGGUAUAUACUACAGUCACUAUAAUCCAAUAUUUGGCUAAGAAAAACAGUAAUACAUACUCUCUCUGGAAAAUGAGGUUAGAGGCUAAGAUCAAGAUAACUCGGAAAGAGGAUAGUUAACUGGUGGAAUUACAGAAAGGUGUAAAGAUUAGGGAUAAGAUUAGGUUUCUGAAAACAUACAAAGGCCUGACUCUAUCUGAAAUCCUUGAGAUGGAUAAACAAAGGCUUACAGUACUGGCUACCAGGCCAAGAAGAUAGAGAAGCAGAGGCCAAGAAGAUAAAUGCCUUGUUCUUCAAAGAACCAUCCAAGUGUGCUUGCAGUGCAAUAACAGUAACAACAGAGCUACCAUUAGCAGAAACUGAAUAGUACUGGAAGAACAUAUGGGACAAAGAGAAGCCAUAAAACAUCAGUGUAAAGUGGUUGCAGGACCUGCAGCACACCACAGCAGUCUUCCAGAACAAGAACCAGUCAUCAUCACAGUUGCAGACAUUCAGCAGCAGGUUAAGAACAUGAAGAACUGAAUAGCACUGGGCCCAGAUACAAUCCACAUCAAUUGACUAAGGAAACUAACAUCAGGGCAUGAAUGCCUAGCAUCACAAAUAUAUUAGCUAGCAGCAGGUUCCCACCCACACUGGUUAACACAAGGAAGGACAGUGUUGAUCAUGAAAGAUCCCCACAAGGGAACAACAAUGCCCAACCACUGGCCAAUAAUCUGCCUCCACACAAUGUAUAAAGUCCUAUCAGACAUUAUAGCAACCAAGCUACAGAACCAUAUGGGCCGAUAUAUGAACUCAGAUCAGAAGAGCAUUGGGAACAACACCAGAGGCUCCAAAUAUCAGAUGCUCCUAAAUAGAGCAGUUGCCUAAGAAUCAAAUCUAGACAGACCAAUCUAAGUACAGCCUGGAUUGAUUACAGAAAAGCCUAUGACUCAAUGCUGCACACACGGAUCUGUGAAUACCUGGGGCUACACAAAGUCAACAGGACACUAAGGACUUUCCUCAAAAACUCAAUGGGACUAUGGAAGACAACACUGGAAAUCAGCUCAAGACAGUUCAUAUAAGUGACCAUUAAGUGCAGCACAUACCAAGAUGAUGCACUGAUGAUGCACUGUUCUGCGGAAGCUUGAACUCCUUUAGCCAGAUAAUCACAGGGACUGGAUAUGGAUUCAAGUUCAAGAGUAGAACUACUGUCAGCCACUUCCUCUACAUAAAUUACAUCAAGUUGUAUGGUAAGGGUGAAUGAGACAUCAAUUCACUGAUCCACCUGACAUGGAUCUAUAGUGAGGACAUUCGGACUGGAGAGGUAUGGCAAGUAGGUGAUCAAGAGAUGGAAAGUUUCCAGAAAAACAAAUAAGUUUUGAGAGCCCAAAGUGUACAAAUUCUACAUAUUUUCUAUUUUUUCCCUCUCUUGCUCAUCAUUAUUCAUUUCAUCCCUUGAUUGCAAUUCUCUGUCUCUAAUUUUUCCCCCAGGCCUUUCCUUUCUUUUCUUAUACCCUUGUAUUUAAACUAGGAAUGCCCAACCCAAUAGCUAAGGGUACCAGUAUGUACUCUUAAGAGUAUAUCCCUUGAAUUCAAAAGGACAUUGUAAUUAAUUAAUGAGAUUUAAUUGCAUUGUUUCUUUUCUAACUGACUUUUAUAUGACUUAUUUUUUUGCAUAAGAGGAAAUGCUUUCUUAUUACCUUCUGUCUCCUGUAUCAAAUAGGAAUAUUAUCUUUUACUGUGGAAAUAACUUUUCAUUGAUGCAUAUUUUUAACUGAUUAUUUGUUAAAUGAUGUGAAUAAAACAAUUCAGAGAUUAGAAAAAUAAUAUAUAUUUUAAGGUGCAUCUGCUGCCCAGAGACAUUUUUGUAUUAGAUCUUGUUUUAAUUAAUUCGCUUAUGGCAUUGUUUUCAUAUGUGAACCUUCUAUAUGUGAUUUUGCUAUUACAGUUUAUGGCACAUGAACAUAAUUAUGUUUGUAGAAGAUAUAACUAGCCUUUGAAAAAACUGUUGUUAUUGGGUAGAGCGUAGGCUAAUAUUUAUGUUUGAUCUUUCAUAUGAACAAAAACAUAAAUGCUAUCAUUUUUAUCCAAAUACUGACCUCUCUCUUAUGUAACCACAAAAUAUCAUUCUGAUUUCAAUGUUUAAAUAACCUAUAAUUUCUAAGCUCUGUGGCUUUGCAAUGUUCAAACAUGUAUUUCUCAUUGUGUAGAUAAAAUGUUAAUUAAAUGUCUGUCUCAUGUUUGAACAGAGAUUUAAAAUCAGUGAUAGUAAAGCAGAAACAAGUGAUUUAAGAGGGUGAGUUAAUGCCUUGAAAUAAGUGAGAGGCAGCAUUGUGCCAGCUUUUUAGGUUUCCCAUACAGCAAUUCCACUGUAUCUACUUUUCCUUAAUAUGACUAAAAGUGGGGAGCAUCUGCAUUUAAUCGGGGAAAGAGCUGAAAUAAGUGGGCCCCUUUGUCCACUCUCCUGCUCUGUUCUCCCCCUAAUGGCCAUUUGUAAAGGCUCACUAAGUGAAUUCAAAAUUGGGUAAAUCAGGAUUCUGAGGGAACAAUUCCUUUUCUCUCUGCAGGGAAGGGGAUAGUGUAUCACCAUUUCCCACCCUUGCAUAGAGCAUUUACUAAUAUCUGGACAGGUCUGCCUGAAUAUAUCUUCUGAUAUAUGUGCUUGUUCCAAGUUAUCUGUCGCUUAAUAUUCUUACAGAUCUUUUUUGCUCAUUUAAAUAUGUGUCUCUGCGUACUCAUGCAUCGUUCUGCUUUUAGUCUUCAUAUAAGCAAGCUGAAAGGUUGAAAAUGGCUUCAGUUGUGAAUGUUUCUUGCUCUACCAUUUUUUAACCAACUGAAAUAGCAAUGGAGACCGCAAUCAAGUGGGAGUGGAAGGAGAUGCUUGACUUUUACUUUGGAAGAUCUUUCUACUCAAUAUUGUUCUCCAUUUCUCCUAAGUAUUAACUUAAACUAUAUUCCUUUUCCUAGAACAAUAUUUAAUAACAUAGAUAGUAAAUAAAAUUAUAAGACAAGCCCAUAUUAUAUGGAGAAGCAUAUACUCCAUCAUUUUAUAAUUCCAGCACAAGUGAUAGCUAAUCCUUUAUAACAUCACACACACAUACACACAAAUGCUAUUUUGUAAGUUAAUUGUACCAACUUGAUUUCAGGAUGAAAUCAGAGGCCUGAAUUCUAAACAUCGAUUAAUAGUCUAAAAUUAUUCACCAUUUUAUUUUCUGUAAUUCUAUGGAUCUAAAUGUAUUGGCAUCAGCAUUUAAUAAGGAAGCUGAAUCUAUAAUCAGCCUUCAACCUUCUUUUAUCUGAGCUUCUUUGAAGGAAGUCAGGAAAAGAACAUUAUUGCACAUCUUCAACAAUACGGGGGGGGGAGGGGGGAAUUAAUGUAUGACCCUUAUUACACAUUAAGAUAGCUUCAACAGAGGGACCUUUUCCUAUUUUCAUGGGUAAAAUAUAUUAUUUCCCAAAGAAUGAAAUAUGCAGCUAAAAACACUGCUUGAUCUCAUAUGCUUGGAAAAGCUAUAGCAUUUUUAAAAUGAUUAAUUUCAGCCUCAGUAAUCUUUGACUAUUAUAAAAGUGAAUAUGAAAAUCAAAAAGCAGAUGUAUUAGAUUGGAACUAUUACAUAGCACUCCUGAUUGUUGGAAAUAAACAUUAUUGUAUCAUUA